ensembl:lncRNA
UGUACAACGAUUCCUGGACUUUCUGGAGAGAUGCAUAAUUUGCCGGCUGGAGAAGACAUCAGUCUUUUUAUUGUGUAAAGCACAGUAUUGAGGGACAGAGAGGCCGGACACGCUGCAGUUCAUGGGAUCGCAAAGAGCUGAACACGAAUUGGUGACUGAACAACAAAUUGUGUUGGUUUCUGCCAUGUAUCAACGUGAAUCAGCCAUAGGAUAAACUCAUUAGAAAAAUCAGACUGGAACCAUAUGGGCUGAAGUUUGACCAAUGAGCCAUGGACUGAAUUAAAGGGACAAGCUGUGUUGCCUUUUCUCCUUAUAGGAUCUUGAGGAUUUGACUGUGAGGUGAGGCUAGGAACCAAGAGGGCCGCCUUCCCAUUAAUGAGAUUAUUUGUACCUGGCAUGCCUACUGGAACGAUAUUGCUCAUUAUGUAAAGAGAGAGGUACGUGCUGCUUAGUCAGUCGCAUCCGACUCUCUGCGACCCCAUGGACUCUAGCCCACCCGGUUCCUCUGUCCAUGGGAUUCUCCAGGCAACUUCUUUACUGUUCGAGCCACCAAGUAGAGGGCAUUUAGCUGCCCCAGACGCAAGGGCUACAACGCUGAACAAGACAGCUUGGCUGCUGUGGUGGCGCCUACAGCCUCCUGGAGCAGACAAUGGAUUUAAAACUACUUUGUCAAUUAUAACCUGCGAUGGACUUGAGGAGACUUAGACACUAAGAAGGGUGUCCAGGGACCCUGCUUAAAUGAAUGACAACCUGAAGUUACUGGGAAAGGCUUAUUCCAUUCUGGGAGGUGAUGGGAGACCUCACAUUCUGUGUGUAUGGAAUGACCGAAAAAAACAAAACAAAACUGAGAAAUCAACAGUUCUCUCCAUGGUGUACAGUAAACAGUCUGCCUGCAAUGCAAGAGACCUGAGUUCGAUCCCUGGGUCCGGAAGAUCCCCUGGAGAAGGAAAUGGCAACCCAUUUAAGAGUGGAUUGGAAAUCUCCGAGGAUCGAUCAGGAAGCCUGAAAAACUCUCUGAUGGAAAAACUCUUUGACGGAACCUGCAGAAGCAAUAAAUAAACCCCAAGUCCCCCUUGCCCAAACUAAAGGGCAACGUCACGAUGCAAGAAUGUCUCCUUAAGCACCCCGACCGCCAACAAUGGACCAUUGCUUGGCAUCUUUCCCUUCCUCUAAAUCACUUUCAGUUUAAAUGGAAGAGGCUUUCUGUUGUCAAAGGCUCAUGGUAGGCUGAGUUUCUCUGCUGACCCAGCCCUGCCAAUAUCCAAGGUGAAGAACAAAUGCAUUAUGAGGAGAAAUCCAUCCAGAGACUGAUUUUGUUUCCUUUAACAGCCAAAGUGGCUUUCAAAGAUCAAUAUGCCCUUUGCACUGCUGCCAAAAGCAAAGAGCCAGUGUGCCAAAUUAUAAACUGUAGGAGGGAUAACUACAGGAGAGCCUGCCCAGCCAGAG